GAUCCUGGCUCAGGACGAACGCUGGCGGCGUGCUUAACACAUGCAAGUCGAACGGAGCACCCUUGAAUGAGACUUCGGUCAAAGGAAAGGAAUGCUUAGUGGCGGACUGGUGAGUAACGCGUGAGGAACCUGCCUUUCAGAGGGGGACAACAGCUGGAAACGGCUGCUAAUACCGCAUGACGCAUUCGGAUGGCAUCAUCUGAAUGCCAAAGAUUUAUCGCUGAAAGA
rnacentral:rRNA from 1 species